rnacentral:rRNA from 1 species
GAUGAACGCUGGCGGCGUGCCUAAUACAUGCAAGUCGAGCGAAUGGAUUAAGAGCUUGCUCUUAUGAAGUUAGCGGCGGACGGGUGAGUAACACGUGGGUAACCUGCCCAUAAGACUGGGAUAACUCCGGGAAACCGGGGCUAAUACCGGAUAACAUUUUGAACCGCAUGGUUCGAAAUUGAAAGGCGGCUUCGGCUGUCACUUAUGGAUGGCCCCGCGUCGCAUUAGUUAGUUGGUGAGGUAACGGCUCACCAAGGCAACGAUGCGUAGCCGACCUGAGAGGGUGAUCGGCCACACUGGGACUGAGACACGGCCCAGACUCCUACGGGAGGCAGCAGUAGGGAAUCUUCCGCAAUGGACGAAAGUCUGACGGAGCAACGCCGCGUGAGUGAUGAAGGCUUUCGGGUCGUAAAACUCCGUUGUUAGGGAAGAACAAGUGCUAGUUGAAUAAGCUGACACCUUGACGGUACCUAACCAGAAAGCCACGGCUAACUACGUGCCAGCCGCCGCAGUAA